AGACUCCCGAUUGGUCAGACGAGGACACUGGCGCUAACCCCUUCUCCACCAACGGCGACGGGAACCCAUUCGAAGACGAGCCGGCGGCUCCGGCCCUCUCCGUGGCCGUCAGGGCCCUCUACGACUACGACGGGCAGGAGCAGGAUGAGCUGACCUUCAAAGCAGGAGAAGAAUUAACCAAAGUCGGAGAAGAAGAUGAUCAGGGUUGGUGCAGAGGUCGGCUCAAGGAUGGGAAAACGGGCCUCUAUCCCGCCAACUACGUGGAGGGCAUCCAGUAAAACACGAAUGAAUACAUGUGAAGAGGGAAGUCGACGUGCGGCUGGGAAGGAGAACCACGCCGGCUUAUUUUAAACUCCUUUCCUCACCGGCCCGGUGUUGGAGAAGAGAGGUGGCCGAUUUUAUUUAAGAAAAGGACCACUUGAGACGUUACUCGCCACAGACUGACUGAUGGAAAUUUAACAACAAGGCGAAGAAGAAUCACAGAGGGGAGAGAGAAAAAAAUUGCUGUCAGUGUAAGAUACGUUGUUACUUAGAAUCCCAUUUACGCUGUUACAAAAAUAAUAGCCUUUCAAGUCUAUAUAUUCGAUGAAACAAAAACGUAUGUGUGAAUUUAUAUAUUGUUCAAACGAAACACUGGGAUGACACUCUGACGAAUCGUCUUGCGAUGUUACGUGCGGCCUCGAUAAGCGAGCCUCUGUGGAUUGUUUAAGGGAGAUGACCCUUUUAUAAACACCAUUAUCUACUUUUUUUCUUUUUAGGUUUGAGCCCAUUUCUACCUGAUCCAGUCCAUAACUGUUGAUUGAUCCAUAUUCCUUUGACAAAGUGGGCCCUUGUGUUGAGAUUAGUGCGACGGGUUUGACCUGGUUUUAGAAAUCCGUGUUUACUUACGUCGUUCAUUCCUUUUCAGGGUUCUGCGAUCUCCGUUCAGUUCGACUGUUGUGGUUAUUUUAUAAGGAACGAUCAAAUCAAUUCGAGCCUCGUGCCGACGUGGUCUUCAUGUAGUUCGCACUGGGUCGGUUCCUCUAGUCGUUGCAAUUUGAAUGUACAUUCACUGAUAGUGUUUUAUCACUUUUGAUUGUUUUUGCUGACUUAAGCUUGUUUUUUUUCCUUGUACUGACUCAUUAACCCCAGAACAAAGUGCCCUGAAGCUCUUCACGAGAGAGAAAAAGUCAAUACCUUCUGUUGAUUGUAGAUUGUAAUACUUAUUUGGGUUAUUUUUUCAUCACGACACUGAAAGUUUCUCACAAACGUUUAUCACACUUGAAUCUCCAUGUUGUAAAUGCUCUCACGGUCAAGUUAUGGGAGACAUUUUUUAUGUUUUUUUUGUUGGGGGGGGGGGAAUAUAUUACAAUUCAUAGCAAUAAAACCACGGCCAAGUAUGGCAUUGCAUACAUGCAUGUAAAUAGCCUGGAUGAGAAAUAUUAGAACAAAUUAAGCAUCGAUAUCAGAUGAUAUGUAGUUUGAAAUUGAUUGUUAAUUUAUGAUGCCACAAGUGCUUUUUGUUCUACUCUUGUUGGAAUGCUGUGACGGAGUCAGUUUGUUCGGUAAUCGAAUGUUUUAUGUCAAAUAUCCCCUGAAUCUGUUAUGAUAUAUUUGUAAAUAUGACCUUUUUUUUUCCCAACACAGAGGGCCAUAAUCAUUGAAUUAAUCAUCACAUGUGUGAAUAAUUGUUAAUUUUCCCUUAGGAAGCUAUAUGAUAUGAACGGAUCUACCUGUUUUAAUUACCUGAAUACAUAUGUUUGGAUCAUCAUGUAUUUUGUAGGAUUGUUUUUUUUCUGCAGUCUUAUUUCCCUUACGCAAGCUCCAAAAUAUUUUUCACACUUUCUCGAUGAAAUCGUUGGAGAGAAGAAAAAAAGAAGCUAUUUGAUGCGUUUAACUGCAGCACACGCGGAGGAUGAGUUGUUCUCUAUAUUACUGGCGAGAGAGGAGACAUGUCCACGUUGUCGGGGAUGACGUCAAAACGCAGCAACGGCUGUACUUGCACAGUGAGGUUUGUAAAACUACAUAAUAAAUGAAUUUAUUGGAAGAAAUACA